rnacentral:rRNA from 1 species
GGAAUCUUGCGCAAUGGGCGAAAGCCUGACGCAGCAACGCCGCGUGCGGGAAGAAGGCUUUCGGGCUGUAAACCGCUUUCAGUAGGAACGAAACUGACGGUACCUACAGAAGAAGGAGCGGCCAACUAUGUGCCAGCAGCCGCGGUGACACAUAGGCUCCAAGCGUUGUCCGGAUUUAUUGGGCGUAAAGAGCUCGUAGGCGGUUGAGUAAGUCGGGUGUGAAAACUUUGGGCUUAACCCAAAGAUGCCACUCGAUACUGCUUUGACUUGAGUUCGGUAGGGGAGUGGGGAAUUCCUUGUGUAGCGGUGAAAUGCGCAGAUAUAAGGAGGAACACCGGUGGCGAAGGCGCCACUCUGGGCCGAUACUGACGCUGAGGAGCGAAAGCGUGGGGAGCAAACAGGAUUAGAUACCCUGGUAGUCCACGCGGUAAACGGUGGUCACUAGGUGUGGGUCUCUACCAAUGAGAUCUGCGCCGUCGCUAACGCAUUAAGUGACCCGCCUGGGGAGUACGGUCGCAAGACUAAAACUCAAAGGAAUUGACGG